UUGGAAGACCACUGCAUUAAUUAUUCUGAAAACAGCCGAGGGGCUACCCCAAACUGAAUGAUAAAAGUGACUAGAACUAGUGGAUUCAUCACCACGGUCAUUUUCUGUGGAGUAUAUGGCUCCUCAAACAAGGCCGGAAAAGAUGUUUACAGAUUCCCCGCAAUCAUGAAACACCAUUGGCAAUACCAAUGAGAUAAGACUCAAGAACUCAGAAAAGCGAAGAAACCUUUUUGCCCGUCAAGACCUCAACCCAGACUGCUUUCAAUACAGGGUUUGCUACGAUCAUUUCAUCAUUGGAAGGUUCACCAGCUGACCUAUAUCAAGACACCCAUGUUGACUGGAUUCCCCCUGUGAAGAUGGAAACGUGGCUCUCAGACAAUAUGCCCCCCACGGCUAUCUAACUCGAUGGAUUCUUCAUUCACCGGGCAGACAGGAUAGUGGAGUCGGGGUGAGGCUGCCUUUCUGGUUGCGGUGAUUAUAAUUCGGCGUCACUAAAUCAAAAAGAUAUAUAAAUCACAUGCGCCGAAUACAACAGGUAUAGAUAGACCUUACAGUGAAAUGCUUACUUACAAGCCCUUAACCAACAAUGCAGUUAAGAAAAAUAAGUGUUAAAGUAUUUACUGAAAUAAACUGAAGAAAGUAAUGAAGGGAAAAAAAGGUGCAAAAAUAAAAUAACAGUAGCGAGGCUAAAUACAGGGGGUACAGGUUAUUCGAGGGAUUGAGGUCAUAUGUACAUGUAGGUAGAGGUACAGUGACUAUGUAUGGAUAAUAAACAGAGUAGUAGAAAAAGUUUGGCAUGAGCUCUCAAAUCCUGAAAAGGUUCUACAACUGUACCUUCGAGAGCAUAUCGACUGGCUGCAUCACUGCUUGGUAUAGCAAUAGCAUCGCCCUCGAUCGUAUGGCGCUACAGAGGGUUGUGCGCACAGCCCAGUACAUCACUGAGGCCAAGCUCCCUGCCAUCCUGGACCUCCAUAUCAGGUCAAAGAUCCCAACCAUCCAAGCCAUAGAUUUUCUCUGCUUGAACAGCUUUUAUCCCCAAGCAAUACGACUGAAAAAUAGCUAACAAACUUGCACGGACCAAGUUUACCUUGCAUCUUUAUUGACCUUCUAUUUCAGUAUUUUGCACUGUCUAUGCACACUCACAGGGCCCUACACACUGUCACUCCAAAGCAAACACUCACUCCAUUUUCUCACUCACACAUAAUAUGCACAUACAUUUAUACCAACUCUACACCCACAAGCUGCUGCUACUCUGUUUAUCUUAUAUCCAGUUGCCUAGUCACCUUACCCCACACAUAUCUACCUCCCAUCACCCCAGUAUCCCUGCACAUGUAAAUAUGGUAUUGGAACUGACUUUUUAAAUAUUUUCUGUAUAUAGUAUGUUUGUUUACUUUAUUGUGUAUUUCAUAUUUCUUGUGUGCUUUUUUUCUAGUAAUACAUUUGAUUAUUGCAUUGUUGGGUU
rnacentral:lncRNA from 1 species